CAAUAGAUGGGUGUUGGUUAAAUGGUAGGUCCCAGUAGUCACAACAAUAGAUGGGUGUUGGUUAAAUGGUAGGUCCCGGUAGUCACAACAAUAGAUGGGUGUUGGUUAAAUGGUAGGUCCCGGUAGUCACAACAAUAGAUGGGUGUUGGUUAAAUGGUAGGUCCCGGUAGUCACAACAAUAGAUGGGUGUUGGUUAAAUGGUAGGUCCCGGUAGUCACAACAAUAGAUGGGUGUUGGUUAAAUGGUAGGUCCCGGUAGUCACAACAAUAGAUGGGUGUUGGUUAAAUGGUAGGUCCCGGUAGUCACAACAAUAGAUGGGUGUUGGUUAAAUGGUAGGUCCCGGUAGUCACAACAAUAGAUGGGUGUUGGUUAAAUGGUAGGUCCCGGUAGUCACAACAAUAGAUGGGUGUUGGUUAAA